CCUACGGGAGGCAGCAGUGAGGAAUUUUCCGCAAUGGGCGAAAGCCUGACGGAGCAAUACCGCGUGAGGGAUGAAGGAUUUUGGUCUGUAAACCUCUUUUCUCAAGAAAGAAGUUCUGACGGUACUUGAGGAAUAAGCAUCGGCUAACUCCGUGCCAGCAGCCGCGGUAAUACGGGGGAUGCAAGCGUUAUCCGGAAUGAUUGGGCGUAAAGCGCCUGUAGGUUGUUUAUUAAGUCCGUUGUUAAAGCCUAGGGCUCAACCCUAGAAAAGCAAUGGAAACUAGUAGACUAGAGUAUGGCAGGGGUAGAGGGAAUUUCUAGUGUAGCGGUGAAAUGCGUAGAUAUUAGAAAGAACACCGGUGGCGAAAGCGCUCUACUGGACCAUUACUGACACUCAGAGGCGAAAGCUAGGGUAGCAAAAGGGAUUAGAUACCCCUGUAGUCCGUAGCCGUAAACGAUGGAUACUAGAUGUUGUGCAUUAUGUACAGUAUCGUAGCUAACGCGUUAAGUAUCCCGCCUGGGGAGUACGCUCGCAAGGGUGAAACUUAAAGGAAUUGACGG
rnacentral:rRNA from 1 species